AAAAAUAAAAAAAGGGGGCCGCAACCUGAACCAAGCCAUGCCGCGUGAAGGAUGAAGGUCUUCGGAUUGUAAACUUCUGUCCUUGGGGACGAAGAAUGUGACGGUACCUACUGAAUAACCCCCGGCUAACUACGUGCCAGCAGCCGCGUUAAUACGUGUGGGGCAAGCGUUCUCCGGAUUUACUGGGUGAAAAGGGCGCGUAGGCGGUCUUGCAAGUCGGAUGUGAAAUACCAUGGCUUAACUUUGGUCUUGCAUCCAAAACUGUAGGUCUUGAGUGUCAAAGAGGAAAGUGGAAUUCCUAGUGGAGCGGUAAAAUGCGUAGAGAUUAGGAGGAACACCGGUGACGAAGGCUACUUUCUGGCUGACAACUGACGCUGAGGCGCGAAAGCGGGGGGAGCAAACAGGAUUAGAUACCCUGGUAGUCCACGCCAUAAACGAUGAUUACUAGGUGUAGGGGGUAUCCACUCCCUCUGUGCUACAUUUUACGAAUUAACUAUUCCUCCUGGGGAGUACGGCCGCAAGGUUUAUACUUAAAGGAAUUGACGGAUUG
rnacentral:rRNA from 2 species